CAAACAAAAAAACCACCGCUACCAACGGUGGUUUGUUUGCCGGAUCAAGAGCUACCAACUCUUUUUCCGAAGGUAACUGGCUUCAGCAGAGCGCAGAUACCAAAUACUGUCCUUCUAGUGUAGCCGUAGUCGGGCCACUACUUCAAGAAC
rnacentral:misc_RNA from 1 species